rnacentral:rRNA from 1 species
GCUGACAUGAGUAACGAUAAAGGGGGUGAAAAACCUCCUCGCCGGAAGACCAAGGGUUCCUGUCCAACGUUAAUCGGGGCAGGGUAAGUCGACCCCUAAGGCGAGGCCGAAAGGCGUAGUCGAUGGGAAACGGGUUAAUAUUCCCGUACUUCUUACAAUUGCGAUGGGGGGACGGAGAAGGCUAGGUGGGCCUGGCGACGGUUGUCCAGGUUCAAGUGCGUAGGCUUAAGAGUUAGGUAAAUCCGGCUCUUUUUAAGGCUGAGACACGACGUCGAGCUACUACGGUAGUGAAGUCAUUGAUGCCAUGCUUCCAGGAAAAGCCUCUAAGCUUCAGAUUGUAAGGAAUCGUACCCCAAACCGACACAGGUGGUCGGGUAGAGAAUACCAAGGCGCUUGAGAGAACUCGGGUGAAGGAACUAGGCAAAAUGGUACCGUAACUUCGGGAGAAGGUACGCUCUUGAUGGUGAAGUCCCUCGCGGAUGGAGCUGACGAGAGUCGCAGAUACCAGGUGGCUGCAACUGUUUAUUAAAAACACAGCACUGUGCAAAAUCGUAAGAUGACGUAUACGGUGUGACGCCUGCCCGG